UUUUAACCGGAAACGAUUUAUUUCAAUUUCAGCGAACUCGUCAGCAAAGUGAAGAGUUGCCACAUCGCUUUCCUUACUUAACAUUUCAUCUUCAAUACCAGUGUCCAAAAUAUUUGAAAAUAAUGAAUGAGUCAAACAAAUAUCACUGUUACCAGACUCAUCGGAGAAAGAAAAGACUGCAGAGUGUUUGCCCAAAAUGUACCACCUCAACCUGUAUUUAAAGUCAACAGGAUUAGGAUGGUCAUUGCUACCACCCAUGGCACGAAUGAAAGAAAAAAAAUUCUCCAAUACGUCUUGGUUUAGGCGACGUGUUAAAAUGUAGUCCACUUUAAAGAUGUGGGUAACAUAUUGGUACAAACCUUGCAGGGACUUGUUACUUAUGAUAAUUCCUUUUUGGAAUGGUAACAGUGUUUUUUUCCCAAUUCCUCGAACAUGUGACAUUGUUUCAGUCAUUGUAUUUAUAAUGAGGUCCUGAUGGUCCACAUUUAUGCCAUAUGCAUUACUUCCAGAAGGACAGAAUUUCAAAUUCGUAUUAAAAAUAUCGAACCAGUCAUUGGCUAAUUUUAUAAAGUUCGAUGUUUCUGCAUAAUUUGUAUCCUUUAUUAAGUUGUUGUCCCCACACCAUUGUAUGGCUUUGGACACUGUGUUAGAAAGUAAUUGUGCAGCAGGUCUGACUUUUUGUCUUUGGCUCCCUUUGACAUCUAAAUGAUAACGACUAAUCUUAUGAGCGAUUUUCAAGUCACUGCCAGAAGAAAUCGAUAAUAAUGAUUCUAUACAG